GUUUCCGUAGGUGAACCUGCGGAAGGAUCAUUGUCGAGGCCCGCCGAGCAGCGAGACCCGCGAACCGGUGACCCUAACGAGGCGCGCGCGGCCCGGGGAGCGCCCGCUCUCCCGGGGGACCGCGCGGCGAACCACCCCCGGCGCGAUGGGCGCCAAGGAAUCGAGAUGGAAUGAGCGCGGCUCCCUCCGGGGACGCCGGCGCGCGUUCGGAACUUACACGACUCUCGGCAACGGAUAUCUCGGCUCUCGCAUCGAUGAAGAACGUAGCGAAAUGCGAUACUUGGUGUGAAUUGCAGAAUCCCGUGAACCAUCGAGUCUUUGAACGCAAGUUGCGCCCGAGGCCACCCGGCCGAGGGCACGCCUGCCUGGGCGUCACGCACCGUGCUGCCCCACCCGGCGCCCGCCCGAUCCGGCGGCGGCGCCGCGGGGCGGARACUGGCCGCCCGUGCGCCCCGCGCGCGCGGCCGGCUGAAAAGCAUUCGCUCCCCCCCCGGGGCGCGGACGCGGCGGUAGGUGGUUUGAGAGGCGGCAGCCUCGUCGGAGCCCGGACGCCGCGCCCGUCGCCCCGCCCGGGGGCAGAGCAAAGAGCGAAGCGGCACCCGGCCCGCGCGGCCCUCGCGCAGCGACCCCAGGUC
rnacentral:misc_RNA from 1 species